AUUGAACGCUGGCGGGAGGCUUAACACAUGCAAGUCGAACGAGUGGCGGACGGGUGAGUAAUACAUGGGAAUCUGGCUUAUGGAGGGGGAUAACGACGGGAAACAGUCGCUAAUACCGCGUACCAUAGGAUGAGCCCAAAGCGGAUUAGGUAGUUGGUGGGGUAAUGGCUUACCAAGCCGACGAUCCCUAGCUGGUCUGAGAGGAUGACCAGCCACACCGGGACUGAGACACGGCCCAGACUCCUACGGGAGGCAGCAGUGGGGAAUUUUGGGCAAUGGGGGAAACCUGAUGCAGCCAUGCCGCGUGAAUGAAGAAGGCCUUCGGGUUGUAAAGUACUUUCGGCGAAGAAGCGGUAAUCACAGAAUAAGCACCGGCUAACUCCGUGCCAGCAGCCGCGGUAAUUC
rnacentral:rRNA from 1 species